rnacentral:lncRNA from 1 species
AAGUAAAAGUUGUACAAAUGCUCUCACUACUAUGAAACUAGAGGUAGAACAUAGUAUCGUCCGACAUCAUGCCCUGUUCAUAAUCUCUGCAGAUGUAAAACUGUAAAUGGGAGUCUAGGACGAACCUUCAUAUGCAUGCAUGGAUAAGGGAGUUCCUCAAGGUCCCAACAAUUCCAUAGUCUCAACCUUCACUCCAGCAAAGAUCCACGGCCUCACCUCGUAUUUGAUUUUAUGAAGUAUCACAAAGUUUGUGGACUCUGUGCGCUCAAAACUCUCGCAAGUGCACUAGUAUGAUGAGCAAGCGUAGGUCUUUUCUACUCAUACCAUCGCAUUUGACAAGUUCGUUCACUACUUCUCAAGCGUCUCACUCGGCGGCCAUGCACUCAGGUGCAAGUAGUGGUUUUGUGUCCAUGUGGUGAUAUAUUUCCAUAGUCGCUUCGUGAACCUACAAUUCCUGAAAAGGUGCAAGCCUAUCUCCGCAUGAAGCCUACAUAGUGUGCUGGUUCCAUGGUUUGAACACCUCCUAGCUUCCAAUCUUUCGACAAUCCUAAUUGGUUCAUUGUUGUUCACUUUAUACGAGAAAAAAGUCCAAUUUGUCUCCCCAAUUAUUGUGAAAGUCGAUCAUUUCUCCCUGAACUCUAAAAGCAGACAAUUUCUCUCAUAGCUCUCAAAACUGGUAACUUUACCUCCAUGGCUGUUUCUGUUGGUGCGUUUUAUUUUUUUUCUUUUAUGUUUAUUUUAGGUGAAUCUUUGAAAAAUCAUAGUAACUCACAAAAAAUUCAUAAAAUGGAAAAUCUAAUGGCAUUGAACUCCACAUAAGUAGAUCUACAGUGAGCACAUGAUAUGAUAUGCUUUAGUAUAAACUUUUUGUUGUAACUUACAUUUAUAUUUUUCUAUAAUUAAUUCAUAGCUGUUCUUUCCCUUAUCCAAUUGUGGUGAAAUUUUUACAAUGGACUAAAAAUUGAAUGUUUGAGCUGUAAUGAAAAUGUCAUGCUUGGGAAUAAUUCAUGGUUGAGUUAUAGAUUUAUCUAGGUUUAUAUUUGUUGAAUAGUUUUUAAAUUAAAUUAAAUCUAUAACUCAAUCAUAUAUGAUCCAAUGAUGACUCCACACGAUAUUUUUUUUAUGUAUUACUCAUGUGUUUAGUAAACACUUUUUGCUAUAACUUUAGAUCUAUGUUUUUCUGUAAUUAACUCAUAACUAUAGCUUUUGGCCUUUUGUAGUCCAAUCAUUCAUGAUUGAGUUAUAGUUUUAUCUAUAUAAACCUAGAUAAAUUAAUAGAUGAAUCUAUAACUCAGUCAUAUAUGAUCCAAUGAGCAUGAAACUUUUUCUACUUCUCAAGCAUGCAGUGAAUCUACCAUAAAAGUUUUACCAUAAUUGGACAAUAGAAACUGU